rnacentral:lncRNA from 1 species
GCCAAGUUCAAGGACCGCCCCCGCGCCCCUGAGCCAGGCACAUUUGAAUUACAGCUUCCAGCCCUGGGUAUCGGCACGCGCUCAGAUAUCCUACUGAAACCCUAGACUCCGGACUAAUGUCUUUUAGAACUAGAAUCCCUUCCUUGAUUAAACCAAGAGCGAGCUGUGGCUCAUCUAGUGUUCUGAACAGCCGGGAAUUUACACCACAAAACAGAAUCUUGAGUUCUGGAAGGUGCCAACGUUGGAGCAUGUAUAUGUCAUCAGAGAACCUAUUACAGCUUGAGGCCAUUGUACACAAAUGCCAACGACCGUGUCCAUGAUCACAAAGGUACUUUCCGACUCGAGGCUCGGGAUGGCUCCUGGCCAAGCCGACAUCUUCCACCACUGAGAUAGCACACACGCCGGGAUUUGACAGAUGCCACAGUCCCCAAGCUGAGAAGACGCGCUUCACAAACAAUUUGUACGUUGUAGGACCCUGGCCUCAGAUUCCUCCUCCUUGUUACGUGACAGCCCUUAUGUUUCUUUUCCUUCCUGGGAGAGAGAGGGAAGAAAACAACAACAUAGUUCUGGAGAAGGUAGCUUGUUCCCUCGACACCGGAUCAUAAAAUUCCUCGGAGACAUUUCCCAGAAGCUGGAGAAAUCGUGCGGAUCUCUGGGUGAGUAAAGCAGAAUCCAUGGCUUGGCAGGCACUGGAGGUCCUGAGUUUGAGCCUGUGGCUCACGUUAGGGGAGUGGACAGGGUCUCCGUGCACCCUCCGGGGUGACGACUUUCCAUCCGCGGGCAAGACUCGAUUCGGUAGUUGGGCUCAUGAUGUGUGUUUGUCUUCUCGUUAAAGACGUUCUUUUCUUCCCUCGGUGUAGCAACAAUGAGCUCUGUUUGGGUUCAGCAGUGGGAGGGACCCCGUCAUUCAUUCAUGUGUUCAGUCACUUAGUCAGUCAGUCAGUCAGUCAGUCAUUGCUACAAGCCAGGUUCUGAGGAAACACAAGCUCACUCACGUGACCAAAGGCUGGUCCGUGUAGUACAAAGGCUCUGUCUAGAUGCCAACUGGAUAUUGAGGAUGUCUGUACCAUGAACAGGUGGCAUGGGUACCUCUCAUCUUGGCUAUUAGGAAACACAACCAGAGAAGGUGCACUGGGCUCCCUCCAAGGAAGGAGGCGGGAUUGGGGGGAAGCUUCUUGGAUUGGCCUAUGGGUCAGGGAGGGCAUUCCAUGCUCAUUUCCAUUGGAUCGGAGCUUUGGGAAGCAUGAAGUCUUGCAUUGGGUGCCAUCAUUAAGGCUUUGGGUCUCUGUGAUGCAUCGUCUACUGAAUGAUGAUGCUGACACCCACCCUGUCUGCACCCAGCUUUGCUGAGAGGACAACACGACCCAUGUAUGCAGUCUGCUUAAGACAAGUUCAGGAAUAAAUGUAUGCCACCCGUGUCUUUGCAUCCAAAGUCUGGAUUUGAUUUGCCAUUCAAGUGGAGAAAUCACACUUGACCCUUGAACCACAAGGGGUUAGGGCUGCCCAGCCUCUAUGCACUCAAAAAUCCACAUGUAACUCUUAACCCCCCAACAACUUAACUGCUAAGAGCCUACUGUGGACCGGAAGUCUGACCGAUAACAUAAAUAGUCAACUAACACACAUUUUGAAUGCUCUGUGUAUUAUACACCGUGUUCUUACAAUGAGAUCAGUACAGAAAAUAAAGUGCGAUUAAGAAAAUCAUAGGAAGAGGGGUGCCUGGGUGGCUCAGUCGGUUAAGCGUUCGACUUCGGCUCAGGUCAUGAUCUCACGGUCCGUGAGUUCGAGCCCCGCGUCGGGCUCUGUGCUGACCGCUCAGAGCCUGGAGCCUGCUUCAGAUUCUGUGUCUCCCUCUCUCUCUGACCCUCCCCCGUUCAUGCUCUGUCUCUCUCUGUCUCAAAAAUAAACAAACAUUAAGAAAAAAUUUAAAAAAAAAGAAAAAGAAAAUCAUAGGAAGAGAAAAUACAUUUACAGGACUGUGCUGUAUUCAUUGGAAAAAAUCCGCAUCUCAGUGGACCUGCACAGUUCACACCGUGUUGUUCAAGGAAUUGUAGUGGCAGCUGUAUGUUUUGUCAUCUGGGUACCAGUAUCCUAGGCAUUGGGUCUACAUCUUUUGCUUGUUUACCAAAAGCUUUAAAAGCACAAACACAAUCCCAGACUUAAGUCCCUCCUGGUUUCCAGCAUGUGCCCUGAAGGGACAGUGCGUGAAUGUGUGCGUGUAGUAAUCUCUGGCUCUGAGAUUCUUAACCAAUGAAGUGCGUUCUCCUGUUCAGGAAUAGAGCUCUACCAGUGUGUGCGUUUAGUUGCUAAUCUAUCAUUUUUGGUUACACCAGGUGUCUAAUUUCUUCCUUUGCUUCUCUUUACAAUUCUUUGCCUUCUUUCUGGGAUGUAUCGUCCGACUUCCUGACUUGACGAAUGCCAUUUAUUUUUUGCUUUCUGGACAUCUAGGCUUCUGUGUCCCUCAUUUCUCCCUCUGACUUGGUUUAUGUCUCACAGAUACGGUCUGCCAUUCCUGUCUCCUUGUUUUCCUCUUUAGCCCGUGGGUUACUCAAGCGUGUGUUUAAAUUUUCCCAGACGUGUAGAUUUAAAAAUAAUUUUACUGUCAUGGGUCCAGCAGUGCCUUAAAAACUUUGUUUGCUCUAAGUCACCCGAGACCCACUUACAUUGUCCCUCAAAGAAGACCGUGGGGUACAACUGGUCUACCACGGUGCUAAGUGUGGCCAACUGGGUUUUCAUGGAAAACAUCCUAGAGAAAAUCAGAGCAUGGUAACUACGAGGGCCUUUUUUUAGGGGGGGUAUUCAUUUUAUUCUUCUGACUUUAUUGAGGUAUACCUUAAGUACAUACUUAAUGUGUAGGGCACGGUGCUUUGAUCGACACUUACAUUGGGAGAUGUCUAUUUACUAUGACUUGGGCAGAGUGUCCUGUUUUGCUCAAUGAGUCUUUUUAUGGUCAUUGCCCUCGCAAGAGGUUGGCUGUACACGGGGAUUCAGGCUGCAGAAGUGAGUAAUACUGUGUGAGUAAUACCACUGUCGUGAGUUGGGUCCAAGUCACCUACACCUGAUGAGUUGUUGGCUUCCCUUCCCCGUGGCCCAGUGGUUUUCCAUUCUGGCUGUUUUCCACACGGUUCAUGGAAACACAGAGAAGAGCACAUUGAAAAAACAAAUCUCCCCCUCGCAUUUAGCAGGAGGAUGCCAGCAAGGUAGACGUGUUGUAAGGCACAAGACAGGGCCACCUCAUGUAGAAUGUCCCCACGCCCACCUGCCUUCUCAACGUCUGGCCCAGAUGCAGGUGAACAUUCUGUGUAACUAACCCGCGUCUAGAACCAAAUGCUCUGUUGACACAUAAAUGCCGUCGUUGCAUUUUCCAGCCAAGCAACCACUGCAUUAAUCCAAGUUCGCCCUUGGUUGCAUCGUUCAACUUGUGCACAAAUUCAGGUUGCAGCUGCUGGCAUUUGAGUGAGAACACAGCAUGCCUGGGGCAGCCUCUGUUUUGAGGCCGACACCUUCACUGGGGGUCCCACAUGCAAGCAUCUUCCUGCUUCAUCGUCUCCAAGCACUGACAUGUUCCAACGCCUAUCACUUUAUUAUAAAUUGUAUUAUGUGGACACGGCGUGGCUAUCAUUCAGUUUGACUAUGGGGGUAAGUAUCUAUGAUUUCAUUUUAGGAUAGUGCGGGCGCAUUAAAAAUGCAUUCCUGGGGCACCUGCGGGGCUCAGUCGGUUAAGCCUCCAGCUCUCGACUUUGGCUCAGGUCAUGAUCUCAUGGUUCGUGAGUUUGAGUCCUGCAUCGGGCUCUGUGCUGACAGCCCAGGGGUUGCUUGAGAUUCUCUCUUUGUCCCUCUCUCUGCUCCUGUCCUGUUCAUGCUCUAUUUCUCUCUCAAAAUAAGUACAUUCUUUCUCAUUGACAAGUAGUAUUCCAUUGUAUCUAUAAACCACAUCUUCUUUAUCCAUUCGUCAGUUGAUGGACAUUUAGGCUCUUUCCAUAGUUUGGCUAUUGUUGAAAGUAGUGCUAUAAACAUUGGGGUACAAGUGCCCCUGUGCAUCGGCACUCCUGUAUCCCUUGGGUCAAUUCCUAGCAGUGCUAUUGCUGGGUCAUAGGGUAGACCUGUUUUCAAUUUUGUGAGGAACCUCCACACUGUUUUCCAGAGUGGCUGCACCAGUUUGCAUUCCCACCAACAGUGCAAGAGGGUUCCCGUUUCUCCGCAUCCUCUCCAGCAUCUAUAGUCUCCUGGUUUGUUCAUUUAAGCCCCUCUGACUGGCGUGAGGUGAUAUCUCAGUGUGGUUUUGAUUUGUAUUUCCCUGAUGAGGACUGACAUUGAGCAUCUUUUCAUAAAAUAUGGCCAUUUGUAGCAACGUGGAUGGAACUGGAGAGUGUGAUGCUAAGUGAAAUAAGUCCUACAGAGAAAGACAGAUACCAUAUGUUUUCACUCUUAUGUGGAUCCUAAGAAACUUAUCAGAAGACCAUGGGGAAGGGGAAAAAAAGAAAAGUUAGAGAGGGAGGGAGCCAAAACAUAAGAGACUUAAAAGCUGACUAUAAACUGAGGGCUGAUGGGGGGUGGGAGGGAGGGCAGGGGAGGGUGGGUGAUAGGCAUUGAGGAGGGCACCUGUUGGGGGAGCACUGGCUGUUGUAUGGAAACCGAUUUGACAAUAAGUUUCAUAUUAAAAAAAAUAAGUACACUUUUAAAAAAUAAAUAAAUGAUAAAAAAGCAUUAGUGGGUGCCUGGCUGACUCUGUGGGCGGAGCAUGAGACUCUUGAUCUCAGGGGCGUGAGAUCAAGCCCCACGUUGAGCCUGAAUGGUAGUUAAAAAAGAAAAAUGCAUUAGCAUACAUCCCUACACGGAAAUAUUAUUUGACCAUGAAAAAGGAAAUAUUAAUGCACACACCAAGAACCAGCCUCAAAAACGUCUUAACAUACUUAAAUCCAUAGACACAGAAAGAUUAGUGGUUAUAGGGGCCGGGGGAGGGAGUAAAGCAUGGGGUCUCCUUUUGGGGGAAUGAGAAUGUUCUGGAACCAGAUGGGCGUGAUGGCUGCACAAUGUGGCGAACGUGCUAAAUGCCUCUGAAUUGUGUACUCGUAUUAACGUGCAUAGAAACAGAGGCAAAGGUGUUCCGCAGGGUCCCCCUUGGUCUCCGUCCACCUGACCAUACAAGCACUGUUUCCAGACUGGAUGCUUUGAACACAGCUCCCGACACACCCUGGACGGCUACCUAUCUUGCUUUUCAAACACAAAAUCCUGCAAUAUGUCCAAUGCUCCUUCGCAUGUAGAAUCGAGGCCCCAGGGGGGAAAAACACACCUCCUCUCUUCAAAGACCUGUCUGCCUUACACUGAGGCUGCCUAUUGAGAAGGUGCAAAUAUCUGGGCAGUCUGGUCUCAGAAAGGGCCCUGGUUAAAGCAGACCGUCCCUAUUCAACCCCUGGCUUGGCCUCUCCUCCCUGGGGCCGUAGAUCUGAAUCCAAGUGGCUGCAGGCUGCUUGGCUUGUUUGUCUCCAACCUUCCCUCCAGCAUCCUUGGCAAAGGAUGGCAAAGGCCAUUUUAAUGCUGCCUUCUAGCAAAAGUCCUGCCUCAUGGACCCUCUGUAUCUCUGAAGGAAAGGGGAUCACAUGAGCAAAGCCUUCAAAAACGGGAACAAACAGGUUUCAUCAUUUUUGCGCGUCUUCGAAAUCCUUUCCGUGGCACUUUUUAUAAACACCGACACGGAGAGAAAUACAGCAGUCACUUGCCUAAGAACCCAGGAAGCCCAGACGCUCCACGCAAAUGGGUGGCGGCCGCAGGGAGUUAUAAAAACGGUCCUGGGUGAUGAACACAACUCAGGAAGCUGUCAGAAGGCACAGGAUUUGCUUUCAGUAUGUGCCUCGGGUAUUAGGAAAAAUGGCUCGUGGUGAGGUUUUAUAUGCAAAAUAAUUCCCCGACGGCAACGACCAAAAGCACCGUCAGCCGGAACAAAUAGUGGCCCUCGUGCAAAACGGCUGGUGGCUGUGUUUCAGCAGGGACGGGACGACAUCAGGACUUUAUGAAUCCCUAGCCGGAAGCCCGCGGGACAGAGCCAGGAAGUGCAGCCACGUGGGCAGACCUUGGAUUCUUCAGACAUUUGUUUCACAGAUAGACACAUGUAUAUGCAUAUGUUCAUAUGCAUAUGUAGAUAUAUGUAUAUGUGUCUAUGUAUCCCUGAAACAAAUUUGUGAAUCUCACUCACACACACACACACACACACACACACACACACACACUCAUACAUGCAUAAUUUCUAUGGGAUGAUAUUAUUGCAUAUGCUCAGGUGUCUCAGAUAUCCUCAUCCAGGCAAGCUUGGUAGUUUGGGUUGGUUUAUCCUGUGGGGCAGCACAUCCUGGGCACUGUAGGUAUUGGUUUCCACGCGGCAGAUCCUAGUAGCAAACCCCCAGUUGUGACAGUCAAAACUGUCCCUAGGGGCACCUGGGUGGCUCAGUCGGUUGAGUGUCCAACUCUUGAUUUCAGCUCAGGUCGUGAUUUUCUCUUUCAGUUCGUGGGAUCAAGCUGUGCGUGGGGUUCUG